AGAAAUAAAAUGCACACAUACUGUAGCUGUAAUUCAAUUAAUCUUCUCCUUGGGUUUCCUCUGCUCCAUGCCAGGGUCAUUUGUAAGGCCAUCACUCACGCCAAACACGCAGCACCUGUGCAGCUAUGGAACCAGCCCCUUCCUCCCCCUCCCCGUCCUCCCAGGCAUGGUGCCCCAAUCACCUUGUUUCCAGGCACAAAAGCUUUCCUCUGCAAGCGCGGAAUGCUAGAAUUCCCCCAAGCACUGGCAAGGAAAUAUUUAAAUGUAAUCAGAGGAUCUUCCUUUGUUUUAUUUAUUUUUUUCCUGGGGAAAUUCAUCUCUCGAAGACGCGGAUGAUACGUGCCUGGUCCCCUCGACCGUCUCUAAUUGAAUUCCUUGCUUCAUUUAAACUGCUUAAACUUGGCUGUGAGAAGCGUGUGCCCGGCAGUCCCUUCCUCCCCGACUGGACCGGACGUGGAGCCCCUGACGGCCGCCCUCUCACCUGCGGCUCCCUAGCCCCGACCAGCUGCAGAAACCUGGCUCAGCUCUCCCCAGACCCCUCCAGGCUUCGGUCCUUCCAACUUCAUGGAGCUUCUAGCAGAAGAGCCAAAUUGUGUUCUAUGUGUCUGGCCUUCCAUCUCUGCUCUGUCGCUUUGGAGCUGUGUGAGCUUAGACAACUCACUAGACAUCUCUGAGUUUCAGGUUAUUUACAAAGUGGGAGGGGGGAUAACAGCACUGUACAGGGUUGCUGUGGGCACUGAAUAGGGUAAUGCACGGUUCCCAACCUGUUUAGCACCAGGGACCGGCUUCAUGCAAGGCAGUUUUUCCAGGACCGGGUUGGGGCAUGGAGGGGGUGGUUUGGAGAUGUUUCAAGCUCAUUACAUUUAUGGUAUGAUCUCUAACCUAACGUCACCCCUGAUCUAACGGGAGUUACCGGUCUGUGGCCUGGAGGCUGGGGACCCAUGGGACAAUGGAUAUAAGGCCUCUAACAUAAUACCUGGCCCACACUCUGCACACAAAGGAUGUGGUGGCCCUCCUUUCCACGUCCCUGAAAGAUUACCGAGUGUCCCAAAUCAUAAUCAGAGCAAGCAAAGAUGCAGACAGAUCUAACUCCAUCACUAUCAAGACAACAGGCUCCCCUAAUAGCUCAGAUGGUAAAGCAUCCGUCCGCAAUGCAGGAGACCUGGGUUCAAUCCCUGGGUUGGGAAGAUCGCCUGGAGAAGGAACCCGCUCCAGUAUCCUUGCCUGGAAAAGUCCAUGGACAAAGGAGCCUGGAGGGCUAUAGUCGAUGGGGUGGCAAAGAGUAGGACACGACUGAGUGACUAACACACAUCAAGACAACCAGCAGCGGACAGACCUACAGGCCUGUGGGGGUACAAGCUCCCAGGGCCGGAGUCCUCAGACUUCAGCCAGCUCUGCCCCAUGAGGAGAGCUGGGAAAACGCAGGCCACAGGUCCCUCCUCCUCAGAGCUGCAAAUUUAGAAGGCCUGGGCCGGCCCUUGAUAAUCUACCUUUAAAAGAAGCUCCUGGUGCCCCUGGCUUCCCAGGUGGCUCAGAUGGUAAAGAAUCUGCCUGCCAAUGCAGGAGAUGUGGGUUCAAUCCUUGUGUCGGGAAGAUGCCCUGGAGGAGGCCUUGGCAACCCACUCCAGUAUUCCUGCCUGGGAAAUCCCAUGGACAGAGGAACCUGGCAGGCUACUGUCCAUGGGGUCGCAAAAAGUUGGAUACGACUGAGCCUGCAAACACCCUGCACUCCCCUGAUGCUCUUGCUAGUGGCUUACGGGCCAUAUUUUGAGGACCACCACUUUACAGGACGUGACAGCUAGGAGCUGGAACCCGCAACCCUUUGCAGGCGGCUUGCACCUGGACACACCUCUCCUCCAGCAACAAGAUACAAAGAAACUACAUGGGACUAAAAAUACUGCGUGCAUGUGCAGCUGGGGGAAAUUCUGGACCAAAAGAUACAAAGACAGAAAAAAACCCAACUGCCACUUCUGGAGAGUCUGGGGCAAAAACAGGCAGUUGGAACUGCGCAUGCCCCCUGCACUCAACACCACCGGCGGGGGAGAGGGGGGAACCACCUAAACCACCCUGUGACUGGACCCCUGGACACCCCCGCCAGCCAUCACCCCAUGUUAGAAAUGAGAUCACCUCGCUCCCCUAACAGGGAGAGAGCAAGCAAGGGAACCUGUUGUUUGUUCUUGCCCCCCACCCCGCUCCACGCUGCUGCUGCAGGGCCCCCAUAAAGCACGGCCUGGAUUUCUUGUCUGGGCUCUAGUCAGUUUCUACUGAUGGGAGAGAGCCAAGAACCUGGUCGGUAUCACUUUGAUGAUAAACAGGCUGAUGACUAUCACCUGGAGCAACCCAGUGCGGCAG